CAAAUAUGAAUCAGACGUUCACAACCUCAUCUUUGCACUUUGGAAGUUGCUUCAAUGAUCUUAAAUGGCCGACGUAAAGAGCUUUAUGCAGAUUUAUGUUACCUUUGAAUGCGGUUUAGCCCAAAAGAUUGAAUUGUUGAUGAGAUGUAAUGAUGUAUUCUAUGGAUAAAAGUAGGACCAGGCUUCUCCAUACCGGCGAGCAGCCACUUGUACUCUGACAAUGUAGCAUCAGACAAUGGCUCCAAGAAUUCACA
rnacentral:misc_RNA from 1 species